AAACGAGUUGGGUAGGUGAUUUGGUUUUGCUAUUUUGGAUUAUCAAUAAUUGUUGUUAUAAUAUAUAUAGUUGUUAUUGUUAAGUAUGGAGAGCGAGAAGAAAUCGUCUCAUGUAUCGGAUAUGGGAGCAUGGGCGAUGAAUGUUGUUAGUUCGGUGGGAAUUAUUAUGGCUAAUAAGCAGCUUAUGUCGGCCAAUGGUUAUGCAUUCACUUUUGCUACAACAUUGACUGGGUUCCACUUUGCUGUGACUGCACUUGUUGGGAUGGUGUCAAAUGCCACAGGGCUUUCCUCAUCAAAGCAUGUACCUUUGUGGGAACUUAUCUGGUUCUCAGUUGUUGCAAACAUGUCUAUCACAGGGAUGAACUUAAGUCUCAUGCUCAAUUCAGUCGGAUUUUACCAAAUCUCAAAGUUGAGCAUGAUUCCAGUGGUUUGCAUUAUGGAAUGGGUCCUUCAUAAUAAACGUUACUCGAAGGAGGUUAAAAUGUCUGUUGUGGUUGUCGUUAUCGGCGUGGGUGUUUGCACAGUAACUGAUGUCAAGGUUAACGCCAAAGGUUUUAUUUGUGCUUGUGUUGCAGUUCUGUCAACAUCAUUGCAACAGAUUUCAAUAGGCUCUUUGCAGAAAAAGUACUCAAUUGGAUCCUUUGAAUUAUUGAGUAAAACUGCUCCGAUUCAAGCUUGCUCCCUCCUUGUGCUGGGUCCUUUUUGCGACUACUAUCUUAGUGGAAAU
rnacentral:misc_RNA from 1 species